rnacentral:rRNA from 1 species
GCAGUCAGAGGCGAUGAAGGACGUGCUAAUCUGCGAAAAGCGUCGGUAAGGUGAUAUGAACCGUUAUAGCCGGCGAUGUCCGAAUGGGGAAACCCAGUGUGAUUCGUCACACUAUCGUUAACUGAAUACAUAGGUUAACGAGGCGAACCGGGGGAACUGAAACAUCUAAGUACCCCGAGGAAAAGAAAUCAACCGAGAUUCCCCCAGUAGCGGCGAGCGAACGGGGAGCAGCCCAGAGUCUGAAUCAGCUUGUGUGUUAGUGGAACGGUCUGGAAAGUCCGACGGUACAGGGUGAUAGUCCCGUACACCAAAAUGCACAGGUUGUGAACUCGAAGAGUAGGGCGGGACACGUGGUAUCCUGUCUGAAUAUGGGGGGACCAUCCUCCAAGGCUAAAUACUCCUGACUGACCGAUAGUGAACCAGUACCGUGAGGGAAAGGCGAAAAGAACCCCGGCGAGGGGAGUGAAAA